UGAGUAACGCGUGGGAACGUACCUUUUGCUACGGAAUAACUCAGGGAAACUUGUGCUAAUACCGUAUGUGCCCUCGGGGAAAGAUUAUCGGCAAAGGAUCGGCCCGCGUUGGAUUAGCUAGUUGGUGAGGUAAAGGCUCACCAAGGCGACGAUCCAUAGCUGGUCUGAGAGGAUGAUCAGCCACACUGGGACUGAGACACGGCCCAGACUCCUACGGGAGGCAGCAGGC
rnacentral:rRNA from 1 species